AAUAUAAGGCCUUAGUAGACGUGGACUGUCACUUCAGAAGAAAAUUUUGCAAUUUAACAAGUGUGAACUCAACUGAAUUGGAAGACGCUGAAAUACUUCAAAACAUUGGAAGCGGAUAGAAAGGGGGAGUUUAUAACUUUUCAUCACAAAUCUUUUCAUUUUGGACACAGAGGAAAUGGACAUGGGUGCCAAACGGAUGCUUUUAAUUUUCCUGAUUCUAGCAGCUGUGAGGGAAUUGGAUACACAACAAACUACACUUGCACCUACCACUACAACACCUGCACCUAUCAAAACUACACCUGAACCUACUACAACUACACCUGAACCUACUACGACAACCCCUGAACC